UCGGGAAUUUUGGGCAAUGGGCGAAAGCCUGACCCAGCAACGCCGCGUGAGGGAUGAAGGCCUUCGGGUCGUAAACCUCUGUCGGGAGGGAAGAACGUCGUGCGGGCGAAUAGUCCGUGCGGUUGACGGUACCUCCAAAGGAAGCACCGGCUAACUCCGUGCCAGCAGCCGCGGUAAUACGGAGGGUGCAAGCGUUGUUCGGAAUCAUUGGGCGUAAAGCGCGUGUAGGCGGCUUGGUUAGUCGGGUGUGAAAGCCCGGGGCCCAACCCCGGAACUGCAUUCGAAACUGCCUCGCUAGAGUCUCGGAGAGGAAGGCGGAAUUCCCGGUGUAGAGGUGAAAUUCGUAGAUAUCGGGAGGAACACCAGCGGCGAAGGCGGCCUUCUGGACGGUGACUGACGCUGAGAUGCGAAAGCGUGGGGAGCAAACAGG
rnacentral:rRNA from 1 species